rnacentral:rRNA from 1 species
AACGAACGCUGGCGGCAGGCUUAACACAUGCAAGUCGAGCGCACCGCAAGGUGAGCGGCAGACGGGUGAGUAACGCGUGGGAAUCUACCCAACCCUACGGAAUAACCCAGGGAAACUUGGACUAAUACCGUAUACGCCCUUUUGGGGAAAGAUUUAUCGGGGAUGGAUGAGCCCGCGUUGGAUUAGCUAGUUGGUGGGGUAAAGGCCUACCAAGGCGACGAUCCAUAGCUGGUCUGAGAGGAUGAUCAGCCACAUUGGGACUGAGACACGGCCCAAACUCCUGCGGGAGGCAGCAGUGGGGAAUAUUGGACAAUGGGCGCAAGCCUGAUCCAGCCAUGCCGCGUGAGUGAUGAAGGCCUUAGGGUUGUAAAGCUCUUUCAGUAGGGAAGAUAAUGACGGUACCUACAGAAGAAGCCCCGGCUAACUUCGUG